GCUACCUGCAGUCGACGCGAAAGCCCCGCAAGGGGUAAGUAGAGUGGCAAACGGGUGAGUAACACGUGGGUGACCUGCCUUCGAGUGGGGGAUAACGUCCCGAAAGGGACGCUAAUACCGCAUGACAUCCUGCGUUUGGAAACGCGGAGAUCAAAGCCGGGGAUCGCAAGACCUGGCGCUUGAAGAGGGGCCCGCGCCUGAUUAGCUAGUUGGUGGGGUAACGGCCUACCAAGGCAACGAUCAGUAUCCGGCCUGAGAGGGCGGACGGACACACUGGGACUGAGACACGGCCCAGACUCCUACGGGAGGCAGCAGUGGGGAAUUGUUCGCAAUGGGCGCAAGCCUGACGACGCAACGCCGCGUGGAGGACGAAGAUCUUCGGGUCGUAAACUCCUGUCGAGCGGGAAGAACGCUUCCCGGGUGAAUAAUCCGGGGAGGUGACGGUACCGCUAAAGGAAGCACCGGCUAACUCCGUGCCAGCAGCCGCGGUAAUACGGGGGGGGCAAGCGUUGUUCGGAAUUACUGGGCGUAAAGGGCUCGUAGGCGGCCAACUAAGUCGGAUGUGAAAUCCCCAGGCUCAACUUGGGAACUGCAUCCGAUACUGGAUGGCUUGAAUCCGGGAGAGGGAUGCAGAAUUCCAGGUGUAGCGGUGAAAUGCGUAGAUAUCUGGAGGAAUACCGGUGGCGAAGGCGGCAUCCUGGACCGGCAUUGACGCUGAUGAGCGAAAGCUAGGGGAGCAAACGGGAUUAGAUACCCCGGUAGUCCUAGCCCUAAACGAUGAAUGCUUGGUGUGGCGGGUAUCGAUCCCUGCCGUGCCGAAGCUAACGCAUUAAGCAUUCCGCCUGGGGAGU
rnacentral:rRNA from 1 species